rnacentral:rRNA from 1 species
UAAGCAUAUAAGUAAGCGGAGGAUAAGAAACUAAAUAGGAUUCCCUCAGUAAGGGCGACUGAACAGGGAUGAGCUCAGCAUGGAAAUCGGGGCCUGUGGCCUUGAAUUGUAGUCUCAAGUUGUACUGCCAACGGAGGCGCAGAUGUAAGCCUCUUGGAAAAGAGCAUCAACGAGGGUGAGAAUCCCGUUUGUCAUCUGCAGUCCCCCGUGCACGGCGUACUUCUAAAGAGUCACGUUCCUCGGGAUUGGAGCGCAAAGUGGGUGGUAAAUUUCAUCUAAAGCUAAAUAUAGGUUCGAGACCGAUAGCAAACAAGUACCAUGAGGGAAAGGUGAAAAGGACUUUGAAAAGAGAGUUAAAAGUGCCUGAAAUUGCUGAAAGGGAAGCGAAUGGAACCAGUGCUUCUUGGCAAGAUUGGUGCGUGCUAAUGUGAUUGGCUGCUGCCUCAGCGCAAGCGUGGUAGUGGUUUUUGAUCAGGAUGUGCGUGUUGUUUCUUGCCUUGUGUGUCAACGUCAGUUCUCAAUCGAGGAAAACGCCAGGGACAUGGUAGCUCUGCUGCGGUGGAGUGAAUGUGCUUGGUUGAACUCAUUUGUGGACUGGUUCUUGCGUGUCUGGUUGCAGUGUUCUUUGCUUUCCAGCUCUGCCUGUGAAGGGGAUCUCCUCUUCCAGCUGAACUGGGGAACUAGGGCAUCUCCCUGACACAACGACGCUGACUAAAUGGUUCUAUUCGACCCGUCUUGAA